rnacentral:rRNA from 1 species
UGUAAGCGUAUACCAAAGUUGUUGCAGUUAAAACGCUCGUAGUCGGAAUUUGGCAGUUCCGGAUGUGUGCACGUCGUGUGCGCACUUCGCGGGGAUUGCUUUUGUGGUCUUGCGUAGGAUGAGGCACUUUUAUUAGUGAACGUCCUCACGCAACCACUUUUUACUGUGAGAAAAUCAGAGUGCUCAAAGCAGGCAUUUGCCGUGAAUGUAUUAGCAUGGAAUAAUAGAAUAGGACUUGGUUCUAUUUUGUUGGUUUGUUGGGACUGAGUAAUGAUUAAGAGGGACAGUUGGGGGCAUUUGUAUUUCGGUGCUAGAGGUGAAAUUCUUAGAUUACCGAAAGACAAACUGCUGCGAAAGCGUCUGCCAAGGAUGUUUCAUUGA